CCGUAACUAUAACGGUCCUAAGGUAGCGAAAUUCCUUGUCGGGUAAGUUCCGACCCGCACGAAAGGCGUAAUGAUUUGGGCACUGUCUCAACGAGAGACUCGGUGAAAUUAUAGUACCCGUGAAGAUGCGGGUUACCCGCGACAGGACGGAAAGACCCCAUGGAGCUUUACUGUAGCUUGAUAUUGAGUGUUGGUACCGCUUGUACAGGAUAGGUAGGAGCCGUAGAGAUCGGAACGCUAGUUUCGAUGGAGGCAUUGGUGGGAUACUACCCUAGCUGUAUGAACACUCUAACCCGCGCCACUGAUCGUGGCGGGAGACAGUGUCAGGUAGGCAGUUUGACUGGGGCGGUCGCCUCCUAAAAUGUAACGGAGGCGCCCAAAGGUUCCCUCAGAAUGGUUGGAAAUCAUUCGCAGAGUGUAAAGGUAGAAGGGAGCUUGACUGCGAGACUGACAAGUCGAGCAGGGACGAAAGUCGGGCUUAGUGAUCCGGUGGUUCCGUAUGGAAGGGCCAUCGCUCAACGGAUAAAAGCUACCCUGGGGAUAACAGGCUUAUCUCCCCCAAGAGUCCACAUCGACGGGGAGGUUUGGCACCUCGAUGUCGGCUCAUCGCAUCCUGGGGCUGUAGUCGGUCCCAAGGGUUGGGCUGUUCGCCCAUUAAAGCGGUACGCGAGCUGGGUUCAGAACGUCGUGAGACAGUUCGGUCCCUAUCCGUCGCGGGCGCAGGAAAUUUGAGAGGAGCUGUCCUUAGUACGAGAGGACCGGGAUGGACGUUCCGCUGGUGUACCAGUUGUGCCGCCAGGCGCAUCGCUGGGUAGCUAUGAACGGAAGGGAUAAACGCUGAAAGCAUCUAAGUGUGAAGCCCCCCUCGAGAUGAGAUUUCCCAUUCCUAUAUGGAAGUAAGACCCCUGAAAGAUGAUCAGGUAGAUAGGCUGGAAGUGGAAGUGCAGCGAUGCAUGGAGCGGACCAGUACUAAUCGGUCGAGGACUUAACCAA
rnacentral:rRNA from 1 species